rnacentral:hammerhead_ribozyme from 1 species
AUACAGUUGACGAGUCCAAAAUAGGAAGAAACACGCGUCUUGGAU